rnacentral:rRNA from 1 species
GAUGAACGCUAGCGGCAGGCCUAACACAUGCAAGUCGAGGGGUAACUAGAGUGAUAGCAAUAUUACUUUGGCUAGACCGGCGCACGGGUGCGUAACACGUAUGCAACCUACCUUAUACUGGGGAAUAACUUCGAGAAAUCGGCGCUAAUACCCCAUAACAUUGCGAAGAGGCAUCUCUUUGCAAUUAAAGCUCCGGCGGUAUAAGAUGGGCAUGCGUCCAAUUAGCUAGUUGGUGAGGUAACGGCUCACCAAGGCUACGAUUGGUAGGGGUUCUGGGAGGAUAAUCCCCCACACUGGAACUUAGACACGGACCAGAGUCCUACGGGAGGCAGCAGUGAGGAAUAUUGCGCAAUGGACGAAAGGCUGACGCAGCCAUGCCGCGUGCAGGAUGACGGCCCUAUGGGUUGUAAACUGCUUUUGUACGGGAAUAAACCCUUCUACGUGUAGGAGGCUGAAGGUACCGUAAGAAUAAGCACCGGCUAACUCCGUGCCAGCCGCCGCCGUAAGAC